GCCUCGAUGGAGCCGCCACAUGCGGGUGACUGGAGAAGCCACUAGCGGCCGCGCCGUAGCCUAAGCGUCCCCCCGCCCCUCGGGCAGAGCUUGGGGCUCUAACGGGUGCUCUGCGGCAGGAGGGAGCCGAGGUGAAGGGAUCCGCUCGGACGCAGCGGAGGCGGCUAUGGCGGGGCAGUGAGCCUGAGGGAGGAGGGGGGCGAUUAAACGUCUUGUGACAUGGCGGAGUCUAUGGGUAUUUUUUCCUGUCUAACUCUCCUGUGCGUGUGUCUCUUGUUUCUCUCUCUCUUUCUCUCUCUCUCUCCUCAGGGUGCUUGGCCGGGGCUGCUCGCUCGGGUUCUCCCUGUUGUUGCGCGAAAUGGCGGCCGGCGGCUCGGUGGGUUUGGUCGUCGGUUUUUUUGUGUAGGUUUUUUUUUUUUUUUUCUCCUUCCCCUCCUCUUCCCCUCCCCCAAUCGAGCCUCGGCUGCGGCUCCGCAGCGAACCGCGGCGGUGACUGAGACGGGAGGGGGGGGGGGCGGGCUCUGCGCGCAUCCAAUCGGCGGCUCCGCCGGGUGGCACGGCGCGCCCCCAUUGGCUGACGCUGACAUCAUCCUGCAGCAGGGGCCGCCGCAGCCGGGCAGGGUCGGCGCUGCCGGGGGAGGUUGGUGCAAAGGGAGAAAACGGGCGCCAUGAUCCCAGCGCGAGGGAGGACGGCGCGGGCGGGGGAUCCCCGGCGAAAAGGAAAGCGGGAAACAGGCCUCGGCUUCUCUUUCUUUAGCGGGGCCGGGAGGAGAGGAGCGGGGGAAGAGAGAGAGAGAGCGAGCGAGAGAGAGAGGAGCGGCCUGCGCCUGCUUUUGUAACUGCGUCAGUCCAAGAUGGCGCAGGGUCUCCCUGGAGAGGGAAGGGAGCCGCACGUCCGCCGGAGGUCAUGUGACCGCGCUGCAUUCCUGUGGGCUUUGGCUGCCGCCCAACGCGGCUGAGGCGGCGGCGGCGGCGCUCGGGAGAGUCCGUGCUUCCCCUCCCCCAGCGCUGCCGUUGCCGCGUCGCUUCCCCUUCCCUUCCCCCCCGUAACCCCGCGCGUGAGGGCGUAGCCGCCGCCGAGGAAGGUUCUCGUUGCUCUCCCUCUUCCCCGCCCCUCUCCCGGGUGUAGCUGCGCUCGGGGGAGGCCCUCCAUCCGCCCUCCGCUGCCGUAGCGCCCUCCUCGGCCUCCCCUCCCCGAUAUUAUCAGGGUGGAUGCAGUCACCAGGAGGAUGGCAAGUAUGUGUGGGAGCACUACAAAUCCUUUUCCUACAACAUUAAGAGACUUGUCUACUGUCCUCUACAUUGUCCCUUGAUUUUAUUCAGCGAUUAUUAAUCAUGAUGAUGAUACCUGGAACCAGGUUUGUAUUGGUGUUAGCUCUUACCCCAGAGAGGGACAAGAAUAACCUGGGUUAAAAGCAUGGUGUCCUGGAUAGACAAAGGGACAGAACAUGGAUGGACUCAUGCAUCUGCUCUAUCAGGCAGACUUGCAGGUGGAGGUGUCUGUGUUCACUACUGACAACGGAAGAAAUAGCAAGGCUCCAUUUGCCUCCACUUAAGAAGUUUCCUUUCCAGCUUAUAUUGCUUCCUGCCAGGCAUGAAAUCAAACCCCUUUGUAUGCAGGAAUAAUUCAGUCCACCUCGAACCAGUUCCAAUCCACUCUGCAGAUGAAAUAUGAGAACUACUAAAAAUAAUCACCAACAGGGCAAGAAAUAAAUAAUCCACAACUUUGUCCAGCGAGAAAUACUUACUGACUUGCUCAUCAGAAAGUAAUUAUCCUUACUGAAACUGUCUACGAGGUUAACAGUGCAUAUCUGAUCCUGUCUUUGGAAAACAGUGGGCAAGAGACUUUUUGAGGUCCUUUCUGGUCUGAUUGUAAGGAUAGCACUAUAGAGACCAAUAUAUAUAGAGACUAUCAAGACCAGCAUCGAAUUGUUACAACUCUUGGAAGCACUGUGAAAGAAAAAGGACAAAAGAUAAAGAAUGAACAGAAAGCAAAUUUUCUAAAAUGCUUUAGUCUAAGCAAGUACAUAAAAUCUUUGAGCCAGAAAAUGAAGUAGAAAGGAAAACUGUGCAUGCUAAAUACUAUUUAGCUUGAAAUUGGAACAACUAGUGUUUUUGAGAAUGAGCCACAACAUUUGAAUGAGGUUAUUCCUUUGAAAGAAUACCUGUUAUGUAAGUGAAAAGAGGUGCUUUAAAGGUCUUGAGGAAAUUAUUUAAAUUGUUAUGAAAAUCCAAAUACAUCCCAAGGACCUCUAGAUGUGAAAAAAAAAAGGGGGGGGGGGGGGGGGGGGGGGGGGGAGGGAGAGAGAGAGAGAGAGAGAGAGAGAAACAACUCAUAAGUCCUCUCAGGACAAUGAUAAAGUGAGGAAAAUCUAUACUGGUUAAAACAAGAUUGCCACAGGCAGCACUGACCCUAAAGUCAAUCUUGACACUUACUUAUUCUUAGGAUUUUAAUGCAAGAGUUUCUUGAAGCUCAGGUGGAAUGAAUAGCAGAAAAGAAAUAACAGAUAUGUAUUUGCUGCAUUCUUUCACUGUGUGAGCAACUGAACCUCAGCUGGGCUGAUUCUUUGUAGCUGCUCAGGCAGAAAGCCAGACCUUUCAGGUGGUGAGUUACCGGCAGAACGGGAGAUCUGGCAUGCAUGCAAACAGUGCACUGCUGGGCAGGGGAAAGCCCAGAAAUUUACUAUUAAAGUGCCCAAUACCGCUCUUCCACGUGGGCUUUUUAAGCACCAAGAUACCAAGCAACCAGCAGGAAGGUAGAAUGUAGCAAUGGGAUUCCAAGAACCGUGAGAAGGGACAAAGAAUGUGGCAUGACCCCACUCUGCUCACCUGGAAUACAGCUUUACCUAUCUUACAGGAUAGGUAAAAGAAUAACGUAGGGAACUUUGAUAUGCGUGCACAGUAAAAUUAGUAUAGAGUUUUAAUACCUCUUCUGCUCCAUAGGCCUAUCAAUGUAUGCCAUUCCCCCAUCCUCCCUCUCUCCUUUCCUCCCUCACGCUGACGAAUCCUUUAAUACUCUGAAGUUUGAGUUCUCCUCUCUGUAAUUUUAUUUUUUCUGUUUGAAAGUAGUUGGAGCCCUUCUGAUUUCCUUGCUUUGUUAGUGCAUGUCCCUUCAAGCAAAUGUUCCCUGACAGAGCCAGGCUUUAGCACAGCCCCAUCCCUUCCUCUAACAGAUUCUGCUUCCCUACGGGACAGACCUUCUACUUCUGGACAUCUGCUUAGGUGCCUGAGCUCACAUGAGACCUGAUGCUGUUGAAAGCUUCUUGUCCAUGUAAUUCAUGCUUGCAUAUCAAGAAAUCUCUGUUCAUGAACACAAUGUAUAUAUCUAAGUAAACUAAGGUAACUUUUA